GAAUAAAUAGUUGCCCAUGUUAAAAUCUGACAUAAAUAGGAAUAAAUAGCUGAUUAAAGUCUGUGAACAGAAAAUACCAUCGCUGUUUCUUUAAGAAACCAGCGUCACAGACGCGGCGCCUGGGUGACGCUGCAGUGCACAAACCUGAGGGAGAGAGCAGAGGAGGAAUCGGAGGAAAAGAGCGGUGAUUAAUUAACAGAAAAGUUAAUAUUAUAGUUGAGAAAACAUAAUUUACCUGGUCGGAAACUGACGGGGAUUUUAUGAGAACUAAGUUACAUCGGUUUUGGUCAGGUUUUUUUGUUCGGUUGGAAUCUCAGACGGAGCGAGGAUUGGUCUGCCAUGUGCGACGUGCACAUUUACAGACGGGAUUCAAGAUGGCGAGCCAGACCAAGACCUUCAACUCAUCUCCAUCGUAUCAGGGAGGGACUCUCCUGCGUGGGGUAAUUCGCUGCCGGAGCGGUAGGAAUAUCAGGAACUAGUUCAAACUGAACUGAACAGGAUUAAGAACUGAUUGAGUUAUUAUUAUUUUUGGACUGAAUCAAACUGAAGCUUUUCAUUGAACUGAGCACCUGAACUCACAUUUGGACUUGAACUUGAAUUUAAAGUGCCCUACUUUGAUUUUCAUGUUAUAUCUCUGAAUGUGAUUUGAAUAAUUGUGGUCCACUUUGAUUUAAUUGUGUUUGAAGGUAUUUCCUUACCUGUGAAAGACAAGAAAACGAGUUAACUCAG